AACUCGGCCAUUUAGAGGAAGUACAAGUCGUAACAAGGUUUCCGUAGGUGAACCUGCGGAAGGAUCAUAGUAAUCGUCUAUCGACGCACUUGCUACAAACCGUCCGUCGGACGUUAAGCCGCUCUGGCAGAGGAUAAACGGCCUCCCUGUGUUACCUCUAGGGGCACACGUUAAAGAACGCUCCGCAUCGUGAGUCUGACACCGUUGUGAUAACCAAAUACAACCGGUAGCAUUGGAUCCCUUGGCACGUCAUUCGAUGAAGACCGUUGCAAAUUGCGAUAAAGUGAUGUGAUGCGCAAGUCCACCACUUAUACGUGAAUCAUCGAGUUGUUGAACGCACUGCACCGCGCCCUAAACCGGCUGCGGUAUGCCCCUUUGAGCGUCAUUAUUUCGUUCGCCGAGCCUCGCCUUUGGGCGUCUGGCUCCGAGCUCGGAGUCCUCGGUCCCCUCGUGGGGCCGUGUUCUCUCAGAUCCAGCGCGUCGACCCUCCGGGUGGGCUCUCUCAUGCCUGAGUGUGGAGACCCCCCCGUCCAGGCUCGCGCCCGACGACGACCUGAGCGUCCGUCAACAAGCAUCCCCUCCGGGGGGCGCUACAACAUCAUGACCUCAUUGGGGUAGGACAACCCGCUAGACUUAAGCAUAUUAAUCAGCGGAGGAAAAGAAACUAACCAGGAUUCCCUCAGUAACUGCGAGUGAAGCGGGAUCAGCUCAAUGUGUGAAUCUGGCGG
rnacentral:rRNA from 1 species